UCACUUUAUCCCAACACCAUUCAAUAACUUUUACCCAAUACUACUUGGUCACUUAAAUACUACAUGUUAUCUUCAAAUUACAUUUUGCUAUUAUAUUCUAGUAUCAAAUACACAAUUUUCAAAUGGAGGCCUUAUAACAGAUUGUAUUGUUCUCUUCCAAGAUGGUUGCUGGCAUCCACCAGUAACCUUUCAAAACAAAAUGUCUAAUUUCACUGCAUUGACAGUAGGUAAAGAAUUAAACUGACAUUACUCCUCCACUGAAUCUACAUAAAUCAACAGUUAAAUAAUGUCAGUUCUUCCGUGUUCUCUGGAAUCAAUCACAGCAAAGAAAUUAGACUGUUUCUUUUGAAAAAUGUUGGGAAAGAACAAAUCAAGAUCAAAAAUCAAGAUUCAGUUAAACAACAAUUAUAACUAAACAAUUUGAGAUAAUGUUAGUUUCCAUUAACAUUAAAUUAGGUUACUGAAUUGGCAAACACCUUCCUAUUAACAUUACCCAUUUUACCCCAAUAACUAAAGAAAUUAGCACUUGCAGGUCAAAACCUUUAUUCAAGAGACGCAAAAAUAACAUUGAUACAGUGACUGUCAAAAAUUACAGCACUGAUCAUACUGUGACAUCUUGGUUCAAAACAGCACACUUAGAAAUAUUCAACGUUCUUUACUUCAACUGAAUGAAACUGAAAACACCAUUUCACACGACCCAUAUGGGAUAUUUAGACUGUAUAACUGUUCACGCUACAUCUCUUCACUAGUAAAAGAAAGAAAAAAUACAAAGAGAAUUUUAAAAAUGCUGCCAAAAUGCUGUACAGAGCAAAAGGAAAAACAAACAACAACAACAAAAAAACGGCCAUGUCCUCAUGGCAGUUGCAGAGUAUAUAAAAAUGAACUCUGCGAUCUGUUCCUGGAAUUGAGCUUCAAAAAUGCAGCAGAACAAGUGUGAGAUUUAAAUGUCUUCUCACCUAGAGCUGGUCACCUCACAUGCAUAACAGUGAGCUUUCCUUGCAGGAGCAGUUUUGUCUUAGUUGUGAGCUUUUCUUGAGAGCUGAGUUGCAUCCAACUCCAUUACCACCCUUUGAAUCACCUCAAAAGUGUAGCAGAGCUGUGAUGGGUAACUCAUAUUGAAGGAAUAAAAAAGGUCCAAACAGCAUGGCUACUGCAAAGGUCACGUUAUCCAGAUCUUG
ensembl:lncRNA